AAGACCCCAAUGCCAAGAAGAAUAAAGGGAGAGAGAGGGAUGGAGAUUUCAGACCCUGGGAGCAGAUGGGGAAGGGGUAGAGAUCCUAACCUGAGGAAGAGGAAGGGAAAGGAGGUGAAGUCAUCAGCCUCAGAGGGAAAGACAGGACACCUCUUCCCUCCCCCCAGAUCUGUAGAAAGGAGAGGAACAGCCAGCUCUACGGAGAGCUCUGUCAUUUCCCAGCCUCAGUUGGCAUUCCAGAGAAACAGACAAGGCCUGAUGUAUCCCCUCACACCCAGGACUCGUUCUCCCAGAUAUGAGACCGAUCCGAAGACCAUCUCUAUUCCCUGCUCCACAAGCCUAAAAACCACCAAGAGAGACACAGCCACCUAUCGGGUGAAGAACCCCCCCAGGUCCAGCAGGCCAGCUGGCUUCCCAGGGCCAGGAAACAGGAAACGAGAAUUCAUUCAGUGAGUCAGGAUGUAAAUAAGCCACAGCGGCUGCGCCAUUCCGGGCUGCACCUGUGAGCAUCCCUCGGCUGAAGCCCUGUCAGCGUUUCCAUGACAAACUCAUAUUUCUGGAUGCCUCUCCUCCAGCUUCAAGAGCAUGCCUUGUGCUGAGACCUGACACUGAAAAUGCGUUCAUCAUGCUUUUUUCCCCCUAAAAAGGAUUGCACACUCUAAAAAUCCAC